rnacentral:rRNA from 1 species
UACGUAGGGUCCGAGCGUUGUCCGGAAUUAUUGGGCGUAAAGGGCGCGUAGGCGGGAUGGCAAGUCGGUCGUGAAAUCCCUCGGCUCAACCGAGGAACGUCGAUCGAUACUGCUGUUCUUGAGGAUUGCAGAGGAGACUGGAAUUCCCGGUGUAGCGGUGAAAUGUGUAGAGAUCGGGAGGAACACCGGUGGCGAAGGCGGGUCUCUGGGCAAUUCCUGACGCUGAGGCGCGAAAGCGUGGGGAGCAAACGGG